GCCUCAGGGCACUAUCCGGGUCGGCGUUAGGUUUAUCUUUUCAGCCCAUGGUCAGACCCUACAUUUUUUUUGCAGGAGUGCCCUUAGGACAGGUGUCGAGGCAAGCUUUGUGUAGAACACGUGUUCUCCUAUAUUGAGUAACAUCAGGUAUUCAGCCAUUUCUCAGCGACCCGUGUUCCUUUUGCAGUUGCUGCCUUUGUGAAUACCGGCAUCUCCAUGCUUUGCAGUUCAGACUAGUCAGAGUAGUUUGAGCUGUGCCUGAAGAGCACCCUCUUCAGACCUGGCAUCCAUGUCUCUAUAUUCCACAGUUUUUUUGCAUAACCGUGUUCACCUUCCUAUAUUUACCUCCAUUCCACAGAUUGUUGUGUCUUGUGCUCUGCCCCUAACUGUUGCUUCAACAUCCCCACUACUAGCAUUUGUACCUCAAUUAUGUUACACAGUUCAGGUUAGGCUCCAUGUUUUUAAUAUAAUACAAUUCCAUAAUCCAUAAAAGUGGUCUGGUCUGAACCAGCAGAGAAAUCUUAAGUUAAGCAGCGUUUACAAGCCAAAACAGCUCUAAACAAAUAUGCUUGUGGAUUUUGAUGUGAGAGACAACAAGAGAUUGACGUUUUUACUUGAGGAAGUGUUAUGGAUUAUUGGACAUUUUUAGUUAAAACGUCUUAAUGGUGGAUUAUUAUGAUCUCUCUAUUAUGUCUCUCAUUCUGGCGGCACCCAUUCACUGUAGAGCAUGCAUUGGUGAGACACUGAUGCAAUGCUGCAUAUCUCUAAAUCUCUUCCAAACUGGACCAGAAAUGGUCAACCACUGUCAAACCAGCAUAGACCAGAACAGACCAGAGCAGGUCUUUUCUACAAGAUUUAAAUGUAACCUCUGAUACUGUGAAAAUUACGAUACGAUUUGAUACUAUACCAUAUGUCUGCCUUUGUAUCAUCUCAAUAAACUCUUGAGUAAUUAGGUGAUUUAAUUACCCAAUUUCAUAGCAACUUCAAUUAUCUGUGAUGUUUUAAAUACUAAGGUGAUACAUCUGGAUGUUCCCAUGUUGCUUUGCUCCCUCUGGCUAAUAUUGACUGAGUAAACAAUGAGCGCGCAUCUCGAGGAUCGGCUCUAAUGAGAGUUAAACGAGGCUGUCAUUAAUCUUUAAUGCUCCAUUAGCCGCACGCCUCACACCGGUGAAAAACCCGACUGCGUGUUUGAUUUAACCAGACAGACAGCUUCAUAACUCGCUCACCUGCACGCAUAAUCAGGAUAGCAUUACAGUAGAUGGUUUUUAAGGUCAUCAGCGUAAUUAUUGUGGACUGUGUGAGCAGGGUGAGCGGUUGAUGGGUGAAUUAAUGUUGAUAGGGAUUAUUAAAGGACGCUGUGUCAGGUCAAAUGUUCAAACAUCUCGAAGCAAAACUAAUCCUCCCACAUGCUUACAUCGUGUAUCUGUAUUAUAUAGAACAAAUGUUUAAUGUUGUAUCUUAGUUUAAUAUUGUCUUGACAAGCUUAUAUUUCUGAGACUCAGAAGUGUAGACAGAGUCUGCAUCCAAUUUAAAAAUGAAAUCACUCAUUUUUAUUCAUAAGUUCACACUUGAUAUUGGCUUCAGAUACUCACCAUUAUGUUGUUAUUUUUAUUUAUUUAAAAUGUAAACAAUUAACAUUUAAAUUUAUGCAUUUGUCAGACAGUUUUAUCCCAAAGUGAUUUACAUUGUAUUCAAGGCAUUUAUUAUCAGUUUUUACUUACCCCUGGGAACCAAACCAAUGACCUUUGGGUUGCCAGUGCUGUACUAUUAAAACAAAUAUAGAUCCCAGAAGAUGGUUUUCACAGUGAUGCCAUUAAUGAACUAUUUUCAGUGAACUAUUAUUAAUGAACUAUUAUGUGCUCACCCUCAGGCCAUUUUAGAUGUAGACGAGGUAGAUGAGAUGUAGAUCAGCAAUGAAUAUUUUGCAGUGGAUGGGUGCCGUCGGAAACGAGAGUCCAAACAGUCGAUAAAAGCAAGUAAAUCACACCACUUCAGUCCAUCAGUUAAUGUUUUGGAAGGCAAAAGCUGUGUGUUUGCAAGAAACAAAUCCAUCAAGAUUUGAUCUAAAACAUGAUUCCAUAAUUCACAAUGCAUUUACAUUUAUAGAUUUUACAGAUGCUUUUAUUAAAGAUGAUCAUAAGAUGGAAAUAAACACGAGAAGUGACUUUUAUACAAGGAUUCAGUCAUUGUUUAAAAUACUAUUCCAGUCUAUGUUCUCCCUCUGUUGGUGUUCAUGGACUUAUUUUGAAGUGCUUUCUCCCCAUUGUUCCCCGCCCCCAUUGUUGGUUCCCUUGGUAACUGAAUAACUCCGCCGCCCUUGUUAACUCUUGUUAACUUUUCUCUGUUAUUAGUUCUGUAGAUUCCAUUCCAUUCCAUCUUGUGUUUUGACCCUGGACUGUUUCUGGAUUGUUUGCUGCCUGCCCUGACCCUUGCUUGUUUACUGGAUAUAGUCUUUUGCUGGUGUUUGACCCUGCCGGUUCGACCAAUUAUAUUCAAGCGUUACAUUUGGAUCAGCUUCCCUGUUAGAAAAGGGAUGUUUUCUUUUAUUAGUUGAGAAAAAGGAAGUAUAAGAUUGUUCUUCUUAUUGUUGUGGGUGUUUUUUGUUUGUUUGUUUGUUUGUUUUUUGCAAGCAUAUUUUGCAGCUAUAUGGAUUCUUUUUCACAUUAAAUUAUUCUUCGUUGACAGUUGUCUUUGCAUUGUCUCUUGCCUCCUCCAUCAUUUUGCAAAUUUGCCACAGCCUAAAUGCUACUCCUUUUACCCCUACACAACUCUAAAAUAUUCUUUAGUUUCUUGAAGUGUGAGGGAUUCAGCUGUCUGGAUGGUGUUAGGUAGACAAAUCCACCAACAGGAUGCAGUAAAAAAAACAUCCUCUCUGCAAUGGGACCAUGAGCAUCUGCUUGUUUACCAACCGCAGGCUUCUGGAUGGGGACGUAGAUGCAUAGGAGAGAGCCUAGGUAGGUGGUGCGCAUUCAGUUCUGUAGGCAAGCACCAAUGACUUGAACUUGAUGCAAGCCACAACUGAAAGCAAUGCAGAGGUCUGAUUGCACAUAUUGGGAGUCCAUUUAGAAAAGCAAUGCAAUAGUCCAGCCUAGAAAUGAUGAGGGCCUGGACAAGAAGUUGUUUUUGUAACGUGAUCUUUAAAGGUCAUGUGAUUGUGAAGGAUCGUCCCAAAAAACCUGUUAUUGUUGAUAAGCCCAGCUGGAUGGUAAACCGGUGCUGUCAUGUAGGGGCGGCUGGCAAGAUGAGACGCUCUGUCUUUGCCAUGUUGAGCUGCUAGUGUUGUUCUUUCAUCCUUGCUGAGGUUUCCGUCAGGCAGGUACCAUUGGAUUAUCUGAUUGAAAUAAAAUGUAGAGCCGCAUGUCAUCAGCACAGCAGUGAUAGGAGAAACCAGGCUCCUGAGUGAUGGAUCCCUGUGAUUUAGCGCAUGUAGAGAAGCUGAGAAGUCCAAGAACUGAUCCCUGAGGAACCCCAGUCACCAGCUGAUGUGAUUUGGAUAACUAUCCUCCUCAAGCUACCCUGAAGCAACUGUGAGGAGAGAAAUCUGCACGGCUCAAGCACUGUUCAUAAGCCGAAACAACUCUAAACAAAUAUUUUGAUGUGAGAGGCAACAGGAGAUGGACUUCACUGGAGUUUCAUCAGUGUGAAACAUGACCCUGGCCGACAGGUCUCUGCGUGUGCGACAGGUGCUCUUAUCAGGACGCGGAUGGUGUAAUAGGUCUCGACCUCAGCCAUAAAUCCACAUCGUCCUCCACCUCACGCCAUUACCACAGCGGCUAAUUAAAGCUCGCGCUCCUCUGCUUCACUUCAAGUGCUUUUCUAGCGAAGAGUGAAACCCGAUAUGAUGGAGCGCGCGCGCGUGUGUGUGUGAUGAAUGUUCACAUGAAACGGGGUAAAGUUUGCGUCCUCUCUCG